GAUGAUAUUAGAUCAUGAUUGUAGCUUCCUAAAGCUGUUGUUUUGAAAGAGAAAAAUAUAAACAAAACCGUUUUAGGAAGCUACAAACAUGUAAAAUGAUCUACUAUCAAUAAUAUACUCAUUAUUGCUUUAUUCCAAUUUGCAAGAAAAGAUAAUGCAAAUUUUAUUAGUAGUGCCUCAAAAUACUACUGCGCACAAGUAUUGCUGCAAGUUUCAACAUACAAAUACACAAAUAUUUUGAGUUAUGAAGAAUGCACUUAGUGAUAACUACUUCAAACUGUAUUCAUUCUGUACAUUUUGUUAGCGUUGCAAAGUUUAAAUUAACGAUCCGGGCAAUCAAUAAAUACGCCUGGUACGCAGAACAAUAGCCAGGUAUGGGUAUGAAACCGUUGCAAUCUGAUGGUCGAAUGCACCACAUGGGCAAGAUUCAAACAAUGCACGUUAACUCAAAUGAAUCAGAAAAUGUUCCUCCACAAAUGAAUAAAAUGGUGCCUGGACAAAUGGGACAAUUAGGUGCUGGACAGAUACAACAAAAUAUGCAGUUUCAGGUGCAGAAUCAGCUACCAGAUCAAAUAUAGGAUCAUAUUACGGGACCAAUAGUCAGUAUACAGACUAGUACUCGUAUACCGCAACAAUUGAGUCAAAUUGACUCUGGACAAUUAGGUCGUGAUCAGAUGCAGCAGCAGUUAAACCAUAUUCAAAGAAAGCCAGGUGAAAUGAUGAAUACUGGAUUUCAUAGCCCACAUAACGUUACGCCGAAUCAAUUUUUGAGACAGAAUCCAUCUCCUUCAGCUCCAAGCUUAGCUCGUUUAUUGGAUACAUUGAACUAUAUGUAUGGACCGUCUCCAAGUAAAUCGUAAAAUAAUCCUGACAGUGUAGGCGCAACACAAAGCCAUCAGCAAGAAAAUCACGUUUACAGAGAUAAAGUCAAACAGCUAAGCAAAUAAAUAGAGAAGAAUGAUUGCAAGAUGAGCAGCGAAGGAAAUGUCGACUCAGUAAGAUCAAGAAACUGUUGAAAAUUCUAUCGAAUCCCAAUAAACGUAUGCCAUUGAAUACGUUUACUGAAAUGCUAAGUUGUUUUGGAAAAAUUAAAUUUUAAGAGAGGAGAUGGCACUGUAGGACCGCCAGUAACGACGUUGAAGGAGCAUCAAAUUUUUAGUCCGUUAUUAUAAGCUGUAAGCGUACAUCUCCAAAGUAUUUGUUGUAUUUGCAGAAGCAAUAUUUUUACUUAUGUCAUUAUCACAAGGAAGGGUCAUAUUAACAUUAUUAUUGGAACUCGCAGAAGUUUUGGCUGUAGCGUUAUCAUCAUCCAAUAUACUAGAGCUAAUGUCGAAGGGAAAUAUAAGGUCACCAUUGAUAACUACCUGUCUCAGAAUUAUUGCCACUGCCAUUGUUAAGAAAUAAUUGUUAUAAGAAUUAUGACUACUUAUAACAUUGAUAUUAAUAUCAUUAUCUAAUAAUUUACAGCCAUUGUCAUUUCCAUAAGCUAAUCAUCAAAAUUGAUAUUCGUAGAAUUGUUGAUAUCGAUAAUAUUAUCUACUAUACUAUGAUCAUUGCCAUCGUAGGAGCAUGUUAUCACUUAGUUAAUUUUUAAUGUUAUAAUUCUUAACUGCAAUUAGUUAUUUUUUAAAGACAAACUUUAAUUUAUUAACUUUUUUCUGAGUUAAAAGUUUAUUUUGUAAAAAAGAUUAUGACAUUAUUAACAAUGAUUAGAAGAAAUGUACAACAAAAUUUUAUAAAUUUCUGUAGAAUUUAAAAAUAUGAUUACCUUUUGGCAAUAAUAUGAAUUUCUGCACUUCAGGUUCCAAUUUAUGUACGUUUUCUAAAUGGCGUGCAGUUUUACUUUGAAACUUUUUGCAGUAGUAGCAAAAAUUCUUUUUUUGAAGUCCUUUAGGUUGAGAAAAUGGAAUACUUAAAUUUUCUUCUCUACAACCAAAUGCAUUUACAGAAGAAAUGUCUAUCAGAGACACUGAAGAAUUUUUAUCAUUAUUUGUAGAAACAUUAUGAUUUCUUUCACAUUCUACAAUUUCUGUUUCAACUGUAGUUUCUGAUGUUGAAGGUAGAUAUUCAGAAAUAUUGGUUGUAUUUGCAGAUGCAAUAUUAUCACUUCUAUCAUUAUCACAAGAAAGGAUCAUAUCAACAUUAUUACUGGAACUCGCAGAAGUUUUGGCAGUAGCAUUAUUAUCAUCCAAUAUAUUAGAGUUAAUGUCAAAGAAAACUAUAAGGUCAACGUUGAUAACAAUACCUGUCUCAGAAUUAUUGCCACUGCCAUAUACAUACUGACUCUGAUAACAUAGCAUUUAUCAAAUAUAGCAUUUAUCAAUAACUGUGAUAAUAAAGAUAGUAGAGAAAAGCCUGGAAAUCUGAACAUUUUCCUUUGAUAAGGGCAAUAAUUUAGAAAGGGUUGAUGAUAUUAAUACCACAAAUUCCAUGAAUGGAAACAUUUCUGAUAAUACAUCUUUCUACAACAAUGGUAAUCAUAUCAUGAUGGACAAUGAGAAAAAUUCUAGCAUUGAUUUUGUAGCUAAUGUUGAACCAAAUAGUUGUGAAGUGAGAGAUGUUAACUAUUCCAUGAACGUUAAUGAUAACAUAUGCAAUGGCAAUGAUCUUAGUAUACUAGAUAAUAUUAUCGAUAUCAACAAUUCUACGAAUAUCAAUUUUGAUGAUGUAUUGUCUUAUGAGAAUGACAAAGGCUGUAAAUUUUUAAAUGAUAAUAAUAUCAAUGGAAAAUGUUACGUUCAGCUUUCCAGUCUUUUCUCUACUAUCUUUAUUAUCACAGUUAUUGAUAAAUACUAUCUUAUCAGAGUCAGUACGUAUCACAGGAUUACUAAUGUUACUCUCACCAUCGUUUACUGUAUUGUGAUCAGAUCUAUUAUCAAAAGAUGUCGUAUUCUUCUCAAAGUCUAUGCAGUUAAUCGAACUACUGAUAUGCUUAUUAACACUACUGACAUGCUGUUGUACUUCUUUAGUGACAAGAUAAUAUUGCAUCUGCAAGAAAUGAAAUCAUACAUAUAAACUUUCACUAAUCUACACUCAUUCACUUUAUUAAAAAAUAGGAAUUUAAUAUAUUUAAUAUUAGCUAGCAUUUAACAUAAGAAUAAUUACUACUUUUAGCAUUAGACACUAAUUUUACAUUUUGUAAAGAAUUCUUAGCGUAUUUGUGUUUCACUUUUUAGCAAUUUUAAUAAGGUGAUCUUUAUUUUCUGUAAAAUAAAUUUUCAGAUUUAAUUAUUUCGAAAAUCACAAGUUAACACAUUAUUGCGGGAAUUUAUUAAGAUAAAAAAAGUUAUAAGCUACAAAAACUAUUUUGAUGUUCAUUAUCUGUAUUUAGGGUUAUAGAUUUGUUAAAAUAUUUAUAUUACUUUCCGUAAAUAUAAAGUAAUAUUUACUAUUUCGUGCGAUUACACGUAAAAUACAUUUUUCUUUGCGAUUCUCAUCAACAACACAUUUAACGUUUAACUUUCUAUAUGUAUUGCUUGUCACAUAAUAUUUAUUAUGAUGACAUAAUAAUAAUAUGUAUUGUGACAUUUUUCACUUGUAGACCAGUCGAAAUGUACGAAUAUAAUAAAAUUAUUCAAUGAAGCUUUAAGUUAGCCGUUAGCCAGAAAUUAGGCUCCCAUGGACAAAAACAAUUGAAGUACUAAUUCCGUUCAGUGGUAUCCCGCGCGCAGUAUUUUUUCAAACGCGUUGUUUUUUUAAUGACUACCGUUCAUGAAACGCAGAAACAUUUGCCAUUAGAUAGAAAGCAACAGGCCAAUUACAGGACAAGUUCAAGCCAAAAAAGUGACCAGGAUCACUUUGGCCAAUAUUAAGUAUACCUCUGAAGAAUGGAAUGUCUGUGAUUGGCCAAUUUCAUAACCACGGAUGUUACUAAACUCUAUUAAUGGCGAUGUGUGAACGUAGUCAUGCCUUCGCACUGCUUUUUAUAUGAAUAUUUCAAUAAACAAAAAGGUAUCUUAUAUGAAACUCUUGCCUAAUGACCUAAGUACAUUUCAGAAUAUCCUCUCCGAGGAAAAUUUGACUAAAUAUAAUAUAUGUUAUAAUAUAUUAUAAUAUAAUAUAAUUAUAAUAUAAUAUAGUACAUGUUAUAAUAUAGUAUACGUUCAAUGCACUAUAUAUUUCGAGUAAAAUUUUUCUCGGAGAGGAUGUUUUGGAAUCCGAAACUGAAUAUGUUAAGAAUCGUUCUUAUUAUUCUCUAAAGGUGGCUGUACCCUACUGAAAAAAAUCACGUGAAUUAUAAAUAACAAAUAAAAAAUAAGCUUAAGCGCUGAUAUGUUAUGUACACACUUUAAACCGUUGAUCUAGCUCAGCUAUUUCUCCUUGUAGUACGUUAUUGCGAGAAUUUGUUAAGAUAAUAAAAGUUGUAAGGUACGAAAACUAUUUUGAUGUUCGUAUUAUUAACUGUAUUUAGUGUUAUAGAUUUAUUAAACUAUUUAUAUGUUACUUUACAUAAAUGUAAAGUGAUUCCUACUAUUUCGUGCGAUUACGCGUAAAAUACAUUUUCCAUUGCGAUUACUUAUUAAUAGUUUUAGGAAUUAUUUUAUAAAAACUUGUAUAUAAGUUGAAGAUAUGUCUAAUGUACAAAUAUUUUGUUUCACAUAACACUUUUAUGGUGGUUAUUUUGAAUCAAUAAACGGUACCCUUGUAAAAAAA